CGAAAAACAAAAAGAAAAAGAAAAAGAAAAAGAAAAAAAAAGAAGAAGAAUUUCCAGAAGAUUCGUGUUUUAGAUCACUCUUCAUACAACAAUGCGUAGUUUAUCUGGGUCCCCUACGCUGGCAUGGACAAGCCUCGUGCUGUAGGAAUACCCCAGACCGGCUUUAGGCAGAGGUCAGAUGCCUCAGAGCGCCACUUCACUGGCAAACCCACGGCUUCCGCGUAUUUCCCAGCAACCUCGGGCCAGGCUUCUGUGAGGACGGUGACGUUUGCGUGGCAAUCCUAUAAGGUCUGGGCACACAACAGUUGUCACUCCUGACCCUCCCGCUGGGAAAGACAGUGCUGGCAGAAACCUCCUGUCCAGCUGGCUGAGGAGCCACCCAAAUGUCCAGGAAGGAGGACCAGCUGGUUGGCUGUACCGGGACCAGAAUGAUGAGCCCCACAACCUGACCUUGUCACCACCGUACACUCUCAUCAGGUUAUAGCUCUCUUUUUAUUACUUGUGGAGGAAGUAUAAAAAACAAAAACAAAAACCGAAUUUCUGAUGGCUGAGAAGGUGUAGAGGAGCCAUCUGCCUCCGGAUUACAUAAAUCCGCACUUCUGGUCUCACCACCGCCCUAUCCGUUUGAUGAGGAGGUCCAGAAUGUCCAUCUUUCUCUGGGAAUCUAGAGCCUGUACCUUGUGGGUGGGCGGAUGGGGGGGGGCAGAUAUGAACGGUUUCAAAGAUGAUUCCUCAACUUCUACAGGUCCCACAGACUGGCAAGACCAUAAUCUGUUCCUUGGGGGUCCUUCAGGGGCCAUGGAUGUACUAGUCAAUACUGUUCCCAUCGAAUCUUAAGUGUGUGCUGGUGUCUGUUUCUAAUUAUGCUUGGGGCACUAAUCUUACAUCACAGUGUGUGUGUUUUUACAUGUGUGUGUUACUU
rnacentral:lncRNA from 1 species